rnacentral:rRNA from 1 species
CCUUACCAUCCCUUGACAUCCAGAGAACUUUCUAGAGAUAGAUUGGUGCCUUCGGGAACUCUGACACAGGUGCUGCAUGGCUGUCGUCAGCUCGUGUCGUGAGAUGUUGGGUUAAGUCCCGCAACGAGCGCAACCCUUGUCCUUAGUUGCCAGCAUUAAGUUGGGCACUUUAAGGAGACUGCCGGUGACAAACCGGAGGAAGGUGGGGACGACGUCAAGUCCUCAUGGCCCUUACGGGUUGGGCUACACACGUGCUACAAUGGCAGUGACAAUGGGUUAAUCCCCAAAAACUGUCUCAGUUCGGAUUGGGGUCUGCAACUCGACCCCAUGAAGUCGGAAUCGCUAGUAAUCGCGUAACAGCAUGACGCGGUGAAUACGUUCCCGGGUCUGUACACACCGA